rnacentral:lncRNA from 1 species
ACCCGCGGUCCCGCAGCGGCGCGCGGCUGACGCUCCCUCAGCGAUCCGGCCCUCCGCGGCUCCUGCGCGACCCCACGCAAAAGCGCCCCGUGCGAAGAGCGCGGCCAGCCAGUCCGCAAAGGGCCUCGGGCAGUGCGGGCAGCACGAACGGCGCGAUCGGGGAGCAGGCGCGGCUACGCUCCGCCUCAGUGAUGUCGCCGGGAGGAUCUCCGCGCGGCUACCUCCUCUUCCGCCGCCUUCCUCCCACGCCUUCACCUCCCUCCCCCGCCGCGCUCUGCGGCGAAAAGGAGCGGGCUCCCAGGCCACCUCCCCUCUCUCCACCCAGGGGCCGCGCGUCAGUGGACCUGCAGCCCAGGCAACGGGGCUGCGGACGGCGCGCGUGCCCUGCCUCGCCUCACGCCGGUAGCUGAUGCUCCCGCGGCAGCUGCCACCCCAGCGCCCCAGCCACGGCUUCAGAGGCUCUCGCACGCUGGCUUUUUUUUUUUCCCCCCGCUUUGGUGAACUCGCAGUACUUGGGCUGAGCCCGAAAUCUCGCGAGAUGCUGCAGGCGUCAGUGCGGCUUCCCACUAGGCGCGUGGUACCCGAGGCCGGGCCGGAGCCGCAGGCCAGCCGCGAUUCCUUCGGGCGAUGCUGGGGGCUUUCCGGUCGGGGCCGCAGCCGCUUCCGGAGCCGCGGGCGAGGUGCAAGCGGUCUUCUCUGUCUUCUUUAUGGCCAGUAAAAUUCUCCAGAAGAGAUUUAUGGCAGCCUCACUCCCAGUAGUUUCUGCAUUUAGUGAGAUAAGGAAUGGAUUUUCUUCUGUGUAUUGCUGACACGAACAGGAGACGGAAAUACUGAGUAGAAGAGGGCGGUUCCCUGGCUAAGGCCCCACCCUCAAGCCUGGAUACCCGCGGCCCUAAAUGAGAAGAGGCGUUUCUGUUUGGGGCCCAAAAAGUUGCUUUUUGACCCACCACGCCCCCUAUCCUGCCCCCAUAUAAACCCCAAACCCCAACCUCCAGAGCAUACCAGCAGGUGAGGAGAUACGAGGCAAGCCGACUGACGGCAAAACGACGUAGCAGAGAAAGAGAGAAGAGGAGGGACGUCUGGACACCGAGAGAUGUUUGGCUCGGGGCAGUCAGAGCGGAGUCCAGCCCCUGGGCGGCCCAACUCCAGGGGAAGAUCACCUUCCCACUUCAUCCAUCCCCACCCUUCCAGCUCCCCAUCCAUCCUGCUGAAAGCCAUUUCCACCACUCAAUAAAACCUCGCAUUCAUCCUUCAAGUCCGUGUGUGACCCGAUUUUUCCUGGAUUCUGGAAAAGAGCUCGGAAUACAGAAAGCUGUCCCCUGGUCCUUUGCCCUUGUGAAAAAGCAGAAGGUCCAUUGAGCUGGUUAACACUCCAGCUGUCUGUGGUGGCCAAGCUGAAAGAGCUUUGUAACACUGGGGUUGCAGGCACCCACCUCUAGACGCUACCGCAGAGCCAGAGCCCAAAGCCCUCACCCCGGCCUCUGCACUUGCCCAUCUGCGUGCUCCCCCUCUCGCAAGGGGUUUCUGCAGAGGGGGCUACUGAACAGAUGGAAUCUUGCUCUCUUGCUCAGACUGGAGUGCAGUGGCAUGACCUUGGCUCACUGCAACCUCACCUCUCGGGUUCAAGCGAUUCUGCCUCAGCCUCUCGAGUAGCUGGGACUACAGGUGGGAGACCUCCACAGAACCCUUCCAGCAAGCUGUCUUCUAAAGCAAACAAGAAAAGGAAAGUCUGAGCAGUUUUGAUUAGAUUUCCCAGAAGUCAAAGCAAGGAAAAAUGAAAAAGCUUCAUUUCUCACGUUCUUAAAAGAGAGCACAGAUGUUGCAUCAUCUGGUUAGAUACCCUGAGAAUAAAAUCUGGAUCCAGUGAGAGGAAAGAUUCUGGGUGCUCAUGAAAAAAGAAACAAAACAAAACUUGGGAGCCUCUUGAGAGUGUACAGCAUCAGCCCUUGCCAACUCUUGUUUAUAUGCAUUUAACUUUCAGUUAACCAUGGGAAUAAUUCAUGAAAAUCCAAUCUACAAACAAAGGCCAUCCUAACGUUCAUGUUAUUCUUUUCCCUAAGAAUCUUUCACAAGAGCUAUAAUCAAGUAGAAUUAUGCUUUGAUUUGAAUUCUAAUUCAAUUGAAAAUAAAAAAUGAGGGCCGGACGCGGUGGCUCAUGCCUGUAAUCCCAGCGCUUUGGGAGGCUGAGGUGGACGGAUCACGAGGUCAGGAGAUCGAGACCAUCCUGGCUAACACGGUGAAACCCGAUCCCUACUAAAAAUACAAAAAAUUAGCCGGGCGUGGUGGCAGGCGCCUGUAGUCCCAGCUACUCGGGAGGCUGAGGCAGGAGAAUGGCGUGAACCCAGGAGGCAGAGGUUGCAGUGAGCCGAGAUCAUGCUACUGCACUCCAGCCUGGGCGACAGAGCGAGACUCUGUGUAUAAAUAAAUAAAUAAAUAAAUAAAUAACGAAAAGGUUGCCAUUGCCCUUUCUGGGGAAAGUGAUAAUGAGGAAAGACUAGUUUCUUAACCCAAGUCAGCUUUAGAGUCGGCAAGGAUGCAAUUUGAGGUGAUCCAGGAAAACUCUAUUAGCAUGGUAUUUCCCAUACAGAUUCAUUUCUUUUAGGCCUGAAGUCUUUUUGGCACUUCUUAAUAAAAUCACAGAUACCUCUUGGACAUGAAAGCUUAUCCUUUAUCAAUUUCUAUCAGUUAACCACUCAGAUGAGGAUAAAGGCCUGAGUCAGAAAGGACAGAGAGAGGUUCCACAAAGAGAUAAAAGAUGAGUGGCCAUAAGGAGUCCUUGAAAACACACCUCUCUAGCCCAUCAAAAAAUGCAGCACCUUAAACUCAAGUCCAUCUUACUAGCCUUUAGCAGUACCCCACCACUCUCAAAAUUUCCAGCAUUAAAUGUCUCGGAGCUAUAUAAAAGGCAGACUUAGGUAUAAGUAGGAAGAGAUAUCAAGGGCUUGGGUAUCAUUUCAGCACUAAUGGAGCUUAUGGCAUGUAUGAAUGAACCUGAUGCGUGGUCUCCACGGUAGAUUGUUACAAUUGAGGUCCCACAUUUAUGAGAUUCCCAGUGAAAACAAAUCUCACAGCUUCACCUGAGAGAAACAUUACUGUCAGUCUCAGAUACAAAAGCCUGCUGCUAUUAGGUACCUAUACACCUGCUGAAAAUGGACCAGCUUUGCUGUAGUAGUGCGCGCAGGCAAAAAAAAAAAAAAACAUAAAAAUAACCCGUUUCUCAACAAAUAAAAUUAAUUGGCAGUCAUCACAUUCCCAAGGGAUCAAGGGGUAAAAUCUUUGGCAGCAUAUUGCACAGUGGGCAGGGUGUUUUUGGCUUCAUAAAAGUGAUAAGAGGAGACAACAGGCUAUUCUCUGCUCUUAGAAAUUAUUAGCUCUUUACUAACAUUUAAGAAUCCAUGGGGAAAUUUUUGCUCUGAAUUUGUUAGAAUGUUUAAUAUUAUAACAAUAAUAUUUAAGAUGUUGGUUUGAAGGUGGGGCACGGUGGCUCACGCCUGUAAUCCCAGCACUUUGGGAGGCUGAAGCAGGUGGAUUACUUGAGGUCAGGAGUUUAAGACCAGCCUGGCCAAAUGGUGAAACCUCAUCUCUACUAAAAAUACAAAUAUUAGCCAGGUGUGGUGGUGCACACCUGUAAUCCCAGCUACUCGGGAGGCUGAGGCUCGAGAAUCACUUCAACCUGGGAGUUGCAGGUUGCAUUGAGCUGAGAUUGUGCCACAGCAUUCCAGCCUGGGCGACAGAGUGAGACUCCAUCUCAAAAAAAAAAAAAAAAAAAAAAAAAGAUGUUGGUUUGAGUGCCUUUCAUAAGUUAACAAGCAACGGGAAAACAGCUCAAAUUUCAAAAAAGCAUUUAGUUCAUUGCCUCUGCGAUAAGCCUGUGCUUUCCAGCCCAGGAGAGAGAGUCCAUAUGGCAGGAGGCCUUCCUCAUCUCCUGGUGUGCCAAGCUCUCACCUUUCCUUUCAUGCCUGUGCUUUCCAGCCCAGGAGAGGGAGUCCAUAUGGCAGGAGGCCUUCCUCAUCUCCUGAUGUGCCAGGGUCUCACCUUUCCUUUCAUUUGGCUGGAGCUGUGCUGUCCAAUACAGUAGUCACUAGUCACAUGUGACCAUUAAGCAAUGGAAUGUGGCUAGUCUGAAUAAAAAUGUGCUUUAAUGUAAAAUACACAUUUGACUGGGAGAUUUAGUUUAAAAAAUGUUAAAUACUUCAAAUUUUCUAUAUUGCUUAUGCAUUAAAAUGAUAAUAUUUAGAAUACAUUGUGUUAAAGAAAAUGUAUUUUUAAAAUAAUUUAACUGACUUAUUUUUAUGUUUUUAAAAAUGUGGCUCCUAGAAAAUUUAAAAUACAUGGCUUGCAUUUGUGGCUCCCAUUAUAUUUCUGUUGGAUAAUGCUGGGCUAGCAUUUCCUUCCAGAUGAGCUCUCUCUGAAACCCAGGUGGAUGUGUUACCUGGAGAUGGCUCUAGUUAACCUGCACAGAUAUUGUUUGAGAGGGAGGAUCUCUGGUCCUCAAGCAUUGGCACACAGAUUAUUUUUCUGUUACCCCAGAGGAUGGAGUCAUGGAAAUCAAAGUUUGGCAAAAAGUGAUGACUGCCAAUUAAUUUUAUUUGCUGGGGAAUGGGUGAUUUCUUGCCUGAAUGCACUACCACAGCAAAGCUGCCCCACCUUAAGCAGGUGUGUAGGUACCCAGGUAGCAGGCUUUUGUAUCCGUGACUGACAGUAAUGUUUCUCUCAGUCCCUAAGCUACUCCUUAAACUACAUAAGAAACUGAUUCAGGUGGGUCGAAGUGAGUUUCAUCAGGAGUAGGAGAAGGAAAAUGGCAGCAAAGUGGCCAGGGAAGAUGCUGAGGAGAGGAGCAGUGAACAGUGGGGGAUGCAGGGCCUCAGCAGGGGGCAGGGGUGGAGGGGGGUGCAUUGGAACCUCACUGUGCCUGUCUGACGUCUUCUUCCUCUUUGACUUCUCCUUCCAUCUUUUCUCUCCUCAGUUUUUCCUCUGCUUUUAGAAUGAGUUAUUUUCAACGGAUUUGUACAAUGAAGAAAGGAGUUUAGUGUCACCCCUGGUCAAACUGGUCAAAACGUUUUUAGACAAUGCAGUAUAGGUAGAGUUCACCCAGCUCUAAUGAUACAGCAGCAAAAAUGCGGCGAAGCGGCAUUGCAUAGGCAGUCACGGUCACUAGGACCACAUCGCCCUUCUGGAAGAGAGUAUUACAGGGAGAAGGUGGAAAGAAAAUGAGAGGAGAAGCAAGUGUCUAGGCAGCUUGGGCUGCUAUCACAAAGUACUACAGAUGGGGUGGCUUAAACAAGAAACUUUUUUAUAGUUCUGGGGGCUGGAAGUCUCAGAUCAGGGUGUCAGGAUGGUCAGGUUCUGGUGAGGACUCUCUUCCUGGCCACCUUUAUGCUGCGUCCUCACAUGGCAGAAAGAGAGAGACCAAAACCUCUCUCAUAUCUCUUCUUAUAAGGGCACUGGCUGCAUCAUGAAAGGCCCACUCUCAUGAACCCAUCCAAGCCUAAUUAUUUCCCACAGGCCCCAUCUCCAAAUGCCAUCUAGUCGGGGGCUAGGGCUUCAACACAGGAAUUUUGAUGGAGACAUAAUUCAGUCCAUAGCACAAGAAGAGGACAGUCAGAAAAGGGGUAGAGUAGAUGCUGAAAAAAAGAGAGAUGGCAUGAGGAUUCCCAUUGUACUGUUCUCAUGUAUUAAAUGAAAAUACUAAUAGACAACCUAAAGACAUACUAAAAUUAAAAAAAUUCUCAUACAAGUAUAUUUUACUACUAGUCUCUUUACACAUAUAAAACACAAAUAUUUUGUUCCAUUUCUAAAUACAUUACAACUAACAAAAGUGUUUAAAACUCUUUAGCAAAGUGGGGGACUUCAAGAGCCUCAAGUCCUAUUUGUAUUGGAAAGUGCCCAAGGCCACCCCAGUGAGUUUUCUAGAAUCUACCACUAACCAUCUCACUCCUCUCCCCCCAUCUAGUCUCCCUCAUCUGUAACAGGAAGUGAUGUGUGUCCCCAAAGUCCUGACAGCUCUACAUGUCCCACACUUCACACACCUGUGGUCCCUCAUAGGCUUCUGCUGGCAGCUCAGUCUUGCCAAGGCGGGUCUCCCGGAAGCCUGGAGGUGCUGUUAUCUGACCAGAUUUUCUCAGCCUUAACCCCACACCCACAGGAUCCAGGAAACCCAGAGAUUGCAACAAGAAAGGCUCUUCUAUGUGAGACGGAGGAAAAACCUGAUUAGCAACAGUGAGGGUAUAAACUCAUCACUUUCGCCACUACUGAAGGGGUUUUUACAGUCAUACAUCAUUCUUCAUCAUUUUCCCUCUUUCUUCUAUGACUUAAAAUAGAUGUAAGUCAGGACUGAGAAUGAUGGUGUACAGUUCUCGCAAAAAGACUAUAGGGGAUGGCCGGUGGGAAUUGGGCAGGGUUAGAAAGAUUUAGUGAGAGGAGAGGCAGUCCCAGCAUUCUGCCUUCGGCUGACCCAGGCUGUACUCACUUUUCUAUGUCAGCCUUGAAAGACCAAAGGCCCAGAAGAAAAUAUGACCUUGCCUUUGGCCAUUUCCAGCUUCCUGUUCUUCAUACCCUCAAAACCUUUAUGCUCUGAGAAAAGUGACAUGUGAAAGUUACAUCAAAAAUGACUAAUAAUAACUAAAUAGAUAACAAUAGAGGUGACUGUAGUUGAAGGAGUACCUUAAAAGACUGAGCGUUGACUACAUUUUUGGGGUGAUCUAGCCUCAUCUGCUACCAGUAUAGGAAUUAUUUCUGUAACAUCUCUUUGAUAAUUUUUUUUCUUUUCUUUUCUUUUUUUGAAACGGAGUUUCGCUCUUGUUGCCCAGGCUGGAGUGCGAUGGUGCGAUCUUGGCUCACCACAACCUCUGCCUCCCGGGUUCAAGCGAUUCUCCUGCCUCAGCCUCUUGAGUAGCUGGGAUUACAGGCAUGAGCCACCACACUCGGAUAAUUUUGUAUUUUUAGUAGAGACGGGAUUUCUCCAUGUUGACCAGGGUGGUCUCGAACUCCCAACCUCAGGUGAUCCACCUGCCUCGGCCUCCCAAAGUGCUGUGAUUACAGGUAUGAGCCACCGUGCCUGGCCUCUCUUUGAUAAUUUUCUAAGCAAGUGGCUCUCAGUCACUGGUGUCCCUCCAGCUCUUCAGAGGUUGGCUGCCAAUUGUAAUCAAUGAGUUAAAAAUCUGAAUUUUGUGAUCACUGCAGCUGUACACUGUCACAGAGAGACCUGACAGAGGGAACACUGCCAUACAUAGACUGGGAAAACAGUGGGGCAUCACUUGUUGCUAAUCAGAGCAAGAAGGAGUGGUUUCAUAUUAGGUCAACAUACCUAGAAUGUGUGAAAACAUUGCUUCACGAGUCCAAGAUGUUAACACUUUUCUGUAAACAGUGAUGCAGGGCUGAAAAGUGACCCAAUGAAUAGGAGGAAGAGUUCUUUUAGAUUUUCUAAAUACUUCUUGCUAAAAAGGGAUAUUCCCCUUUUGAUUUCUUUAUGGGUGCCACCAAAAAGUAUGCAUUGAACAGAGAAAUGCUGAGAAGCACUGAUCUAAUUUCUGACCCAACUACCUCUAACAAUGGGAAAUAUACUUGUUGCUAGCCAGAUCCCAAGUAUCCUCCAUAGUCAUCUUCUUGUUCAUUCAUUCAUCCAAUAAUUAUGUUUGGGAACCUGCACAUAGAGAAUAAAUAAGAUAAAAUGUUGGCUCCACAGCUGCAGCUUCACAGUGAAGUAGGGGAGGGGCAGCACUGAGUUAGGCCCUAAAGGGCAUUUGGGAUUAGCCUAAACAAACACCUCAGCUGGGUACUCACUCAUGAAGGUUUACUUUUCCCUCUGCCUUUCAAGCUAAUGACUAAGGCUGCCAAGUAUUUACUCAACAAGAAAGACCCAACAAGGAUCACCGGUGAGGUGAUUAAAUACCUCAUUCCACCAGAGCCACCCAGGAUUGCUGUUUGGAUUAAAAGACAAUGUCAGCUUCCUCCUCUGUACAAAUGCCCACUACUCUGACUCACUAUGGGGCUGGUUUUGAAAGUUAUGUAUUAUUUGUCUGCAACCACCACAGAGUCCAGGGUCAUCUCUUGCCAUACUUGGACUUGCACAUACUUGGCACAGCUUUAGGACAUAUUCUUUAGAAAUAUAUCCCUCCCACUUAAAUUGACAAACCUAAACAAAACUUUUUAGGUUUUCUAUCCUCUAGAUUUUUACAGUGAACGUUUGCAAAUGGCUAUUCUCUGAAAUAAAUGAUUCACUUAUUUUUUUUGUAUUGUAGUACAAAUAUUUUUCUUUUUGAAAAUCAAAUUAGUCCUAUGUCUUGAAGUUUCAUCUGUCCUCCCCUUUUAAUGUUUUUACUUGUAAAGAGACCAAUCUAUAGUGCCAAGUGACUGACUUCAAAGGUACUUCAAUUUCCUUCCACUAAAGCUGUCAACAUUUAGGAUCCAUCUGAAGUAGGCACGUGUUAAUUGAUUUGGAAAAAACAAGCAGCAUUAUAAGAAUACAAUUGGUUGGCAAAGAGGUUUGGUCACUAAAAAGAAUUAAAAUGUAGUAUAUAAAAUUAGCUAGAAACUUUUGAUAAUAUAAUGAAGAUCAGUCUUAUAAUAGUUAUAUUUUAGAGGAAAAAUUCGAGAUGUAAUGGCACAGUGGAGAGAAUAUAUGUUUUCACCUAGCAACAGGCCCAAACCUGAGAGUUUAAGAAGAUCUGUCUGUUUUAGUAAGUGACUUAGAAGGGAACAAAUACUUAGUUGAGAUCAUGAUGGAAGGGCUGCAGCCUGAAUGACAUGGGGUAGUGCUCCUGAGAGCAGUGGAUCAGAGAGCCUGUAGAACACCCAGUGAAAAGGAAAACAAGAGGCAAGAGAGACCAUGUAGGAAGCAGUUGUUGCCUACUGCUCAUCUGGGCCUUGAGAAGUUGUGGUGCCUGCAUAUCUCAGUCUGCUUAGGAUGCCUUAGUUUAUAAACAACAGAAUUUUAUUUCUCAUAGUUCUGGAGACUGGGAAGUUGACGAUCAAAGUGCCGGCACGUUCAUUGUCUAGUAAGGACCCAUUCCUCAUAGAUGGUGCCUCCCAGCUGUGUCCUUAUAUGGUGGAAAAGCCAAUAGGCUCCCUCAAGAUUCUUUUAUAAAGCAUUACUCCCAUUCAUGAGGGCUCUGCCCUCAUGACCUUGUCACCUCCUAAAGACCUUACCUUUUAAUAGCAACCCACUGGGGAUUGGAUGUCAACAUACAUAUUUUGGAGGACCACAAACAUUCAGACCCUAGUACUCCACCAGUCUCCAGACCAGAGUGAGGGGCCUGGCUGAUGAAGACACUUCUAGGACUUGUUUAUGGUUUAGUGAACACGUAGAAUGAAUGAAAAACACUUGUCUCUAACCACUCGCAUCACUCAUGUGGCAAUUAGAUGCUCUCACGGUGAGAGGUGUGUGGGAGUUAAGCAGACCAAGAGAAAUACAGAUUCCUAUCUUACUUCUUAUGCUCAGUCUGAGGCAUAUACUCACUCCAGUGCCCAUGCUCAUCAUUUAUUUAAGUGGUAAUUCCCUCUCGCCUAGUAUUUAAGUAUCGCAAUAGCUUCUUCUCUGGUCACCCUGCUUCUGCUACUUUAGGCUGGUUUCAACUCUGCACAGAGAGGUCCCAUCAAAAUAUAAGUCAGGUCUUGACACUCUCGCCUACAAUCCUCCAGCGACUUUUCGUCUCAUGCAGACCAAAGUCUCACACUGAUCUUCAAGGCCCUAUGUGAUCUGGGACCUCUUUACUUCGAUAGCACGUAACCUAUUCCUCCUUCCUCCUCUCCAGAGUAAAUGCAACAUUUCCUCUGCUACAUUUCCACAAUUCUCACUGCUGUUCUACCAGGCCUGGCAUGUUCUUAUCCCAGGGACUUUGCAUUUACUAUUUCCUCUGCCUGCACAAUUGUAUACCUGAGGCAUACAUGGCUAGCUCUCUCAGUUCCUUCAGGUCUUCAACCCUCCAAAGUCACCUUCACACAGUGAAGCCUUCCCUGGCCAUCUUACCUACAAUUUCAACCCAAGCCCCAUUGCUGAACACUUCACAUCCAUGUUUUCUGCCUUGUUUUUACUGACAUGCUGUAUCUGACUAUUCUAGAUCUGGUUUUUAUCUUGUUUGCAGUCACUCUCCCCUCGUGGAAUGAAAGCUCCAUGAAAGCAGAGCUUUUUUAUUGUUUUGUUCAGUACUGUAUCCCCUGUGCCCAAAAUAGUGCAUGGAUUGUAGUGAUGGUCAUUUGUCAAGUGAAUAAAUAAAUGAAAGUUAAGUGCAUAUAUAACACAAAUCACCUAAGAAAGCAUCAGCCCGAAGGUUACAAUUGCUGUAUCUUUAGGGUGGAUACAACAAUAUCCUAGAUUCCCUCCCCAGGAGUAUUUUUUUCUUCAAAUAAUGCUUUCACUACUGCAUUAGAAAAAAUAAACUGGUGGCCGGGCAUGGUGGCUCAUGCCUGUAAUCCCAGCACUUUAGGAGGCCGAAGUGGGAGGAUCACCUGAAGUUGGGAGUUCGAGACCAGCCUGACCAACAUGGAGAAACCCUGUCUCUACUAAAAAUACAAAAUUAGCCGGGCGUGGUGGCGCAUGCCUGUAGUCCCAGCUAGUUGGGAGGCUGAGGUGGGAGUAUCACUUGAACUUGAAAGGCAGAGGUUGCAGUGAGCCAAGAUCGUGCCAUUGCACUCCAGCCUGUGCAACAAGAGUGAAACUUUGUCUCAAAAAACCCACAACAAACUGUUGUCAUUGCAUGUAAUAUCACUGAGUUUACUUUUUUUUUUUUUUUUUGAGACGGAGUCUCACUCUGUUGCCCAGGCUGGAGCGCAGUGGCACGAUCUCGGAUCACUGCAACCUCUGCCUCCCAGGUUCAAGCGAUUCCCCUGCCUCAGCCUCCCAAGUAGGUGGGACUACAGGUGCGCACCACCACUCCCGGCUAAUUUUUUUUUUGUAUUUUAGUAGAAACAGGGUUUCGCCAUGUUGGCCAGGAUGGUCUCGAUCUCCUGACCUCGUGAUCCACCUGCCUCGGCCUCCCAAAGUGCUGGGAUUACAGGUGUGAGCCACCGUGCCCAGCCUACUUUCUUUUUUGAUAGAAAACAGAAAGUUAGAAAAAUUGAUCCCCUAGAUGUCUUCCCAAUCUAGGAUUUAGAUUUCUAUAAGCUGUAAAAAUUGUUCCCCAAGUCUGGCACUGGGAAAUCUCUGUUAAUAUGGAGAAUCCAAGAUCUCAUCCUUGAAAUUCUGCUUGAGUGACUCUAGAAGGGUGCCUGGGAAUCUAUAUUUUUACAGAGCUUCCCAAGGAAAUCUGAUGAUCAGCCAGGUUUCUACAAGUGAAUUUCUGCUGACCUGCAAGAUUUAUGGUGAACCAAGAUUUGGCUAAAUCCUAACAGGUAGGCCAGAAAUCACCAGGCAAGCCUAUUCUUGACAAGGCUGCAAUAUGCACAGCUGGAGGAGGGAGAGCACAUCUAUUGUGCUGGCUACUUGACAAAGCUUUGCCUUUAAAUGUUACUAGCUGAUUGAAUGCAUCCAUGGUCCUUGCAACCCAGCCCCGCUGCUUUAAUUAGCUUACAUCCCAACAAUAUCUUGCCAGUUCCAAUUUGGCUAAAUUAUCUCCAGAACAUACAGAAAAAAUGAUGAGUGUUCAGGGGUUUGUUUCUGUUUUUGCUUCCAUUUCUGUUUCAGUGGAUGAAUAGAUCUAUUUCCUUAGACUCUCUUUUCCUUCCUAUGGGUAGGGGUGGGAAAGAGAGGAUGAGCCAGAGGGAGAGGAAGGAAGAGAUUGGACUUUGGGUUGGAAGCACAGUGACUCCCCAGCUUCCACAGAAGUUUAACAGUUACCACCACCAUGCAGGGAGGAAGUGAAUCCCCCACUCCUGAGAAUCUGAAUCCAGGCCCUUAUUCCUGGAGCUUGCUGGAGUCAGCACAUAUGUCCAAGAAGACUGAUAAGAACAGUAUCACAGAAAGAUGUUUGCAUACACAUCUUUGCUAGCACAGGAAAGGCUGGCAGGGUGUUGGUCGUUUGUGCGGAAAAGCAAGUGAUGAUGUCUCAAAGAUGACGCCACAAAAUGAAUAUAGGCUUGUGGAAGGUGGGGGUAGGCCCCAGUGGCCAGACAUUGGCUGGUGAGCAGAGUGCAGUGUGUAUCCCAUCUUCUAUCUACUCUCCAGUAGCACAAAGUGCUCCAUUAGGAUUGAGGGUAGGAUAACCUAGGCUAACUUACUUAGCUCAUCAGUUCCUUUCUGGGGCAGAGUUCCUUCCCACCCACUGCAGGGUCUCAGGCCACAUCAGAAUAUUUUACAGAAGGGGUUCUUGGUAAGGUUGAGAAGACUGUUAGCAUAACCAUGUACCUGAGUUAUACCAAGAGGAAGUCAAUCUGAGCAGAAGAAAGGGUUUCUGGAAUCUCUCUUACUUCCUCCUAUGAGUAGGACCUGAAGUCUCCUCCCACAACUCUGGCUUUGAAGAGAAUAAUGGAUGGAAUGCAGUGACCAGCAGCCUGGCCAGAAGCCACAAGGUAAAAAUGGACACUGGUGGGAGGUUAGGAAAUUCCAGGAGGGAGAGUCCAUGAGAUUGAAUGAAUGGAAGAAAGAUAGAAGACAAUAGAUGAAGCACUGCUUCUAUGCUUAUCUGAAAAUGAAUCAGUAUGGACUCAAAGUCAAUUGAAGGUACAAAAGUAAAGAUGAUUUUACAUCUUUUUAUUUUAGUUUAGUUUAGUUUAGUUUACUUUAGUUUAGUUUAGUUUAGUUUAAUUUGAGAAGAAGUCUCACUCUAUCACCCAGGCUGAAGUGCAAGUGGCACAAUCUCGGCUCACUGUAACCUCCGCCUCCAGGGAUCAAGCGAUUCUCCUGCAUCAGCCUCCAGAGUAGCUGGGAUUAUGGGCAUGCGCCACCACACCUGGCUAACUUUGUAUUUUUAGUAGAGAUGGGAUUUUAUCAUGUCAGUCAGGCUGGUCUUGAACUCCUAACCUCAAGUGAUUUGCCUGCCUUGGCCUCCUAAAGUGUUGGGAUUACAGGUGUGAGUCACUGCGCCUGGCCAUUUUCCAUCUUUUGGACUGCAUGUUGCACUAGUGUCAAAUGUGGGACUUUUUCAAGUUUUUCUUCCUGGUGGUGCACAAGGGUUUGUUAAGGAUACCUCCUUAUGAAAUAAGGAAUGCCUACUUAGAUAAUUUGUUUGCCUUAAUUUUAAAAAGAUAUGACAGUUUCUAGUGUUGUGUAGCACUGAGAAACAAAACAAUGUUGUAGUAAUAAUAGUAUUGUUAGGGCUAUUCUUUGAUAAUGACUGAAAAAAAUUUUUGAGAAAGAUGGGAUAAAGGAUCCAUUGCUAUUGUUUAUCAGGAUUUUACUUGUUUAAACUGUGCAGAGGAAUGGGCGUUGUACAGAGGAGGUACAAGUUAUUUUGAUUUAGCUGACUUGACAUUGCUAUUAAAUGUUCCUGAUGACAGGACACUUGAAUGCAAUCUUUUAUUGUACCAAAUUUUGACUGACAUGUGCAACUAUACAUCUCUACACACAGCCCCUUCUCUUUUUAAAAUUUCACCCCAUCCCUCAUUUUCUUUCUUUUGAUCAGCCUUGGGAUGACAGUGAGAUAGCACUACUGGUCUGCAGAGGAGUCUCUCUUUUCCUAGCCCCCUAGAUAUGGUGCUAGGUCUGAAGUCAGUGUCUUUUGGCCAGAGCUUAAAAAUGUGUGCAUAAGACAUAAUAAACUGCAAAAGAUACUACAGCAGCGGCAGGUUCACACAGAACUUAUUUUUGUCGUUCAUUUAUUUUGUUCUGAAUACUAAAAAUGAUGAAAUAAAAUGCUACCAGUACCAGCCAAGUGGGAUCAUCACAUAAUUCUCAGAACAUAUUCUCUGAGUGGUGGCCCCUCUAUCGUUUAAGAAUAACAUGGCUGAGUCCGGGCAUGGUGGCUCAUGCCUGUAAUCCCAACACUUUGGGAGGCUGAGGUGGGUGGAUCAUGAGGUCAGGAGUUCAAGACCAGCCUGGCCAGCCUGGUGAAACCGUGUUUCUACUAAAAAUACAAAAACUAGCUGGGCGUGGUGGCAAGGUGCCUGUAGUCCCAGCUACUCAGGAGGCUGAGGCAGGAGAAUUGCUUGAAGCUGGGAGGCAGAGGUUGCAGUGAGCCAAGAUCAUGCCACUGCACUCCAGCCUGGGCAACAGAGCGAGACUCCGUCUUAAAAAAAAAAAAAGAAUAACAUGGCUAAAAUUUGUUAUUGAGAUUUUCACUUAUAUAAAAUGUAGAGCAUGGGAAGCUCCAUCCAUAAUUCUCAGCAAGCUUGGAAGAGUACUUUAGAAACAGGGAAGUGUGGUAGGCAGAAUAAUGACUGCCUGUCCACAAAGAUGUCCAGAAUAAUACGCCCCUAAGAUAUCCCCGAAACCUUUGAAUAUGUUGCUUUAUAUGACUGAAGAGACUUUGCAGAUGUGAUUAAGAAUUUUGAGAUGGGAAGAUUGUCUUGGAUUAUCUGGGUGGACCCAAUGUAAUCACAAGGAUGAUAAAAGGGAAGUAGGGGGUCAGAGUCAGAGAAAAAUAUCUGAAAAUGUCACAAUGCUGGCUCUGAACACAGAGACAGGGGCUACAAGCCAAGGAAUGUAAGUGGCCUAAAGAAGAUGGAAAAGACAAAGAAAGAUAUGUUCCUCUAGAACUUAUAAAAAGAACACAGUCCUGUUGACACCUUGAUUUUAGUCAGGUGACACCUGUUGGACUUUUGACCUCCAUCUAUAAGAACUAUAAAAGAUCACCAGCCAGGCGUGGUCGCUCAGGCCUGUAAUCCCAGCACUUUGGGAGGCUGAGGCAGGCGGAUUACCUGAGUUCGAGACCAGCUUGGCCAACAUGGUAAAACCCCAUCUCUACUAAACAUACAGAAAUUAGCCAGGCAUAGUGGUGGGUGCCUGUAAUCCCAGGCACUCAGGAGGCUGAGGCAGGAGAAUCACUUGAAUCUGGGAGGUGGAGGCUGCAGUGAGCCAAGAUUGGGCCACUUCACUCAGAGUGAGACUCCGUCUCAAAAAAAAAAAAAAAAAAAAAGAACUAUAAGAUCACAAGUUUGUGUCAUUUUAAGCUACUGUUAUACUAUAAUUUGUCAUAGCAGCAACAGGAAAUGAAUAGAGAAGGGAAAAAAAACCAAAGAACAUCUGAAUAAUGAAGAAAAUCUAUCCAUUAUAGGAGAGCCAGAAAUCUCAUUUAGUGCAAUGUCACCAGUGGACUUGGAUUGCAACUAAGGGCAACUGAGGGUUUCCAGACAUCCAGAGAGAUCUGGAUUACAGACCCUCCUGCCUCCUCUGGAAUCUUAAACCAUUAUAGUUCCCUCUUCUUUGUAAAUGUUAAUCUUUCUACUGGCUCCAAGCCAUGAACAUUUAAACAUUUAAUUGCUACCAUUUUAAAUAGGAAAUAAAAUUCUUAAGCUACUUAAUGCCUUUUCAGCUAUUACUCUGUCACUCUUCUUGCCUUCGCAGUCAAAGCUCUUGGAUGAGUUGUCUGUACUCACCCUCUUUCCUCUACAGUAGUCCCUACUCAUUCUCGGGGGAUAGUUCCAAGACCCCCCGUGGAUGCCUGCAACCACAGAUAGUACCAAACCUCAUAUAUACUAUGUUUUCCUCCUGUACACACAUACUUAUGAAAAAGUUUAAUUUAUAAAUUAGGCACAAUAAGAGAUUAACAAAAAUAACUAAUAGUAAAAUAGAACAGUUAUAACAACAUACUGUAAUAAGAGUUAUGUGAACAUGAUCUCUCUCUCUCUCAAUAUCUUAUUGUACUAUACUCACCUAUUUUCAGACCAUGGUUUACUUCUGGUAACCGAAACUGAAGAAAGCAAAACCAUGCAUAAAAGGGAACGGCUGUAUUUUUCUCAUGUCAACGUAUUACAAUCUAAUUUUUGUUUUCAAAAGGACCUUACUAAACUUGGUCUUACUGAGGUUACCAAUGCCACCAAAUCCAAUGGAUUUGCUUCAAGUUCAUCUACUUGACCUCUAAACAUUUGCCCUGUUGACAGUCUUCCUCAGAGCACUCUCCCCUUCAUUUUGGUAACAGGACACUCUUUUUCUCCAAACUUUCUGCCUACUCCUUUGGUCCCCUGUGAGCUUUUCCUCAGAGUAAUUACUGCAUGGAGAUUCUUAAACUCCUGGUCUUAAACUUUCUUUUCCCUCUCUAUAGGUCAUUUCAUUCCCUCCUGUGGCCUUGGUUGCAAUAUAUUGGUAUGAAUAAUGCCAAAUUUACAACUCUAGGUCGGACCUGAGCUCUAGACUCUGAACUCCUACUGAGAUAUCUUAUAAGCACCUCAGAUAUAAUAUGCCAAAAACUCAACUCAUUAUCUAACCUCUGAAGCUUAUCUCAUACCCAGUUUCUCCUUUACCCCCAUGCUCUUUCAUCCGUCUUUUCACAAAGUUCUGUUGAUUUAGACUUCUAAAUACCUUUUAAGUUUGUCUUAUUAUCUCCACCCCCGUUAGGUCAUGCAACAUGCUCCUGCAACUUCCUUCACCUCCACAUCCUUAUAAUUCUCUUUCACAAAAUACGUUCUCAAUCUCUAUGGGGUACUAGUUUAUCAAGGACAUGUCCAAACCCCAUGUUUCCUCCUCGGUUUAAGUCACUUUAGGAGACAUAAUAGCCAUAAGGAAGUAACAAGCUGAUGAGGAGUCACUUAUCAGAUUGUUAAAGUGAACUAAAUGUGGCCUGAGGACUCCAUACUUCUAUGUUUGAGUCCUUGUGGACAAACUGCAACCUAGCUUAAUAGAUAGACAAAAAUUGAAAACCUAACUUAGGAGUAUGCACCUGUAACAAUAGCUGAGUCUUGGCCAAUUGCAGCGGCAGAACUUCAAUGACUCAUACAUUGCUGAGUGUUCAAACUGUGUUCAAAUAAGGCAAAGGCGGAGCUGUAACCAAUCCUGCUGUUCUGUACCUCACUUCAAAUUUCUGCACGCCCCAUUUCCCUUUUUUUGUCUAUAAAUCUUCCACCACGUGGCUGAACUGGAGUCUCUGUGAAUCUGCUGUGAUUCUGGGGGCUGCCUGAUUUGCUAAUCAUUCAUUGCUCAAUUAAAUGCCUUUAAAUUUAAUUUGGCUGAAGCUUUUCUUGUAUUAAGAUAAUACAAAUGGGCUUUGUAGUGACAUGCCUGAGCACUUGGACAUUUAUUGUUUGAAACUACAGGGUUCAGUUCAGAAGAUGCCAAGGGGAAAGUAGGUUUUAGAGAGACAGCCAUGAAAGUGGUUUAAGCGAACGAGAAGCAAUAGCAGAGUUGAAGUGGGUAAAAAUAAUGUCGACGUGGGAGGGCCCUUGCACACUUGAGAGGAAGAACUUACAAAAGCAAUGACUGCUUAUCAAUCUUCUCCAAGAUGAACAAUCAUAUCUAACUUUAUUUUUAUCAACUUUUUUUGUGCUACUUGCUUUUACUUUGUGCUACUUGCUUUUAGUUUAAAUUUUACUGUAAUAAAACAACAGUGAGAAAUUGACUCAAGGAUGGGCUGAGGGACAGGGAUGUGUCUGCUAAGCUAACUUGGCAGCAUAAAAAUGCCCCGUUCUUGAGGACAGCUUGUGGAAUACUCGUCUUUCAAUUCCUCCUCCUUGUGGAAUGCCAUUCCAAUUUUAUCAGCUUGAUUUUAUUUUUUUCAUAUCAAGAUACAAUUUCAUCUUGAAAUUACAAAAGAUAAUUCAAAAGUUAUAGAGAAAUUCUCCAAGAGGGGACUCAAACAAGAUUUUUUAGUUUAGGAAAUCUUCUGAUAUUCUAUUAUAAACAUUAAUUUUCAUAGGUGUUUUUUCCAAUAGUUACCUACUUUAUCAGGUAAGUUAUAUUCCUUGAGAACAUUAUUAAAGCUAAUGGUAAUAGAGUUAUUUUCAGGUUAGACUCAAAUCCAAGGCACUUUAGAGAGGCAUAAAAAAUUGUCAAGAGGACAGAUGGAAUACUCAGCAAAAUGCUUCUGUUGUUGCAUAUAAGUUUUGUUUUAUAUAUUUGUUGAGAUGUAUUGUACAUAAAUCAAAAUAGAAAAAUAAUAUAAUUUUUAGAGAUGUCAAAAAAUUCUGUGGCUAUGAUUUUUUUUCCAUAGCUUCCUCCUCUGUACUUGUGAGAUAGGAGUAAAGAGGGGGAUAAAAGGAAAGUGGGGAAAGAUAAACAUUUACAGAGCACCUACUCCAUGUCAUUUUACUAAGAACUUGUUCAGCAAUUACACCGGAACAGAGUAAAUAUUUGCCUCUUAUUGCUACUAUUAUGAAUGAUACCACCAGAAUCUUUGUAUAGAUCACAGCACCUAUCCAUUGUUCAGACAGGUCUGAAACAUGCAGGCCACUUUUCAACCACAUCACUCCAUCCUGCCUCUACUGUCAGGUAAAUAUGUAAGUCCAUGGAAGUCUUGUCCCAUUAGCAUCUCCUACUGAUCUGGGGUCACAACAUACCCUUGGGGGUCAUAUGCUAAUCACUUCUCAAUUGUUUAUGGAAUAUUCCUGGCUUUAAAAGAUAAAACAACAGGCCAGUUGUCUCAUUCUUUUUUGUUUCCAUCUAUUAUUAAUUUCUGAUCUAGCAAAUGCUAAGAAUCUUAGGAAUUGGCAGCACGGUUACCAUUAAGACUUAUGGGCAUUUGUUCUGGCUGCUUCCCAAGAUGACCCUCCCAGUGUUUUCUGGUUCUAACCACCUGGAUAAACAAAGGCUUAGGGCACACAUUCGUUUUCAGCAGGCAAACUUUCCAUUUCAUCUGAGGCUUAAGAUAUAGAAAUUAUUUAAAUUUAAUCAGCAUUAUGUAUUAAUUGGUCACUUCAGUUCUUCAAACCACUUAAACCAUCAAAUGAUAAAGUGUGCCAAAAAUGGUGAAAGUACUUGUUUCCUCUUUAGGACUCAGAUUAGCUUUAAUCAAUUAAGUAAGGUAAUAUUUUACUUGAGAUUAACCUCAAAGAAUCAAUAUUGUCUGUGAAUAUAUUGGUCAGAGUGAUCCAGCUCCAAAUAACAGGAUAUGUGACUAUCAGCAACUUAUACAAUGGAAAGUUUAUUAUUGUACCUAAGGUGAAACCUGGGGGAAUUCCAGGGUUAGCUCAUUUGGUAGCUCUGGGGAGCCAGGUUGGCUUCUCUGGGAUUCUUUUGUUUCUCCUUUCUAUCUGCAAGGUGGUUGCAUUCUUCAUAAGGCAUUGUCUGAAAGUUGGAAGAGAAAGUCCUGUCUUGUCUCAUCUUUUUAAAAGUUAGGAAAGCUUCCGUGAUGCUUGCAACAGAAUUUACCUCAUAUUUUUGUGCAUGUAUGUCCAUCAUAUUCCUAAAGCAGCCCUUGACAAAGAAAAAAAAAAAUCAAUGCCAUGAUUGGUUAAGACUAAUGAAAAGGCCGGGCGCGGAGGCUCACGCCUGUAAUCCCAGCACUUUGGAAGGCCGAGGUGGGCAGAUCACAAGGUCAGAAGAUCAAGACCAUCCUGGCUAACACGGUGAAACCCCGUCUCUACUAAAAAUACAAAAAGUUAGCAGGGCAUGGUGGCGGGCGCCUGUAGUCCCAGCUACUCGGGAGGCUGAGGCAGGAGAAUGGCGUGAAUCCGGGAGGCGGAGCUUGCAGUGAGCCAAGAUGGCACCACUGCACUCCAGCCUGGGAGGCAGAGUGAGACUCUGUCUCAAGAAAAAAAAAAAAAAAGACUAAUGAAAAUUAGCAUUCUGAAAUGGGUGAGGGAGGACCCCUAAAAUACUGUAUGAAUGAACUAUGAGUAAAAUUGGAGUUCCGUUCACAAGGAAGAACAGAAUCUUUUGUGUAGGUGACUAAUAGGGUCUGCCACAAUGAACAAAACUUUUCUUUAUACCAAAUUUCAAUAAUAGUGUAUCAUUUACUACUGUUUUUGUUCAACAACCUGAAAGCCCAAUUCUAACUGGCUUAACUAAUAAAGAAAAUGUAUUGGCUCCAGAGAUAGCUUCAGGCAAGUCUUGAACUAGUGGCCUCAAUAAUGUAACUGAAAAUGUGGCUUCUUUUGGUCUCUUUGCUCUCCCUUUACAGUGCCAGCUUCUUCCUAAGCCUGAUACUAUUUUGGUACUCAGAUGGCUGCCAUUAUCUUCUAGAGAGAAUUCUCUUUUCUGUCUAGUGUCAAAGAAUGUUUCUACCGGUAUUUAUUUACUACAGAAAAACAGGCAGCUUGUCUUUCCUGCUAGCUUCAACAAAUACUCCCCACAUCCCAUUGGUUCAUUUAGAUGACAAGGCUCAUCUCUGAAUAAGUGAGUGAGCUAUGCAAUUGAUGUUUAAGCUUUCUUUCCUCCUUGCUUUGUUUGUUUGUUUAAGACAGGGUUUCACCCUAUUGCCCAGGCUGGAGUGCAGUAGUGUGAUGUGUGAUCCCAGCUCACUUCAGCCUCUACCUCCUGGGCUCAAGUGAUCCUCGUACUUCAGCCUCCUGGGUAGCUGGGACUACAAGUGUGUGCCACCACACCAGGCUAACUUUUUGUAUUUUUAUGUAGAGAUGGGGUUUUGCCAUGUUGCCUAGGCUGGUUCUGAGCUCCUGUGCUCAAGCGAUCUGCCUGCCUUGGCCUCCCAAAGUGCUGGGAUUACAGGCAUGAGCCACCAUGCCUGGCCAUGUUUAAACUUUCAACAUUGCAAUGUACUUAAGCAUUGCGAUUUAUAACAGAAAUGAAAGGAAAUCAGGAAGACGAGUGAAUGAAAUAAUACAUAAAUAAAUAAAUAAUAAACAGAGGCUCCUCCC